UCAGGACAGUUGUCUUUUUCAUGUACACUUCUGUGCUCCUCCUGAGAGAGGGGCUUAGAACUAAACCGUCUCCUGGUCCAUCCCCCACAAUUUCUGUUUUUUUUUUUUUUUUUUGGUUUGUUUGAAUGUUUGCCUGCCUGGGAACUGCCAGCCGUGCCCAUCCAAAUCUGCAAAUCUUCCUCUAGACUUUGGGAGACAGAAAAGUAGCUCCUACUUCAAGACAGAGUGCUCCACGGUGUUCUCCAGCACCCCGUGAAGAAAAGCCUGUGAUGGGAUUGCAGUUCGUUCUGUCUUGCUAUGAUUGCUUGUCUGUUCCUGUGGCUUCUAGUGGCUCUUUUCCUUGCUGGAGUAAGAAGUUUCCUUUUUUGCUACUUCAACUUGCUAUUUCUUAAAAAAUAAAUAAAUAGAGGGCAUCCUUUACUUCUACAAGCAAGAAAUAGAGGAGAGAGAGCUCAGGAGAUUGAGAAAUAGAGAAUUUC
rnacentral:lncRNA from 10 species